UGCAAGUCGUGCGGACCUUUUAAAAGCUUGCUUUUAAAAGGUUAGCGGCGGACGGGUGAGUAACACGUGGGCAACCUGCCUGUAAGACCGGGAUAACGUCGGGAAACCGGGGCUAAUACCGGAUAGUUUUUUCCUCCGCAUGGAGGAAAAAGGAAAGGCGGCUUCGGCUGUCACUUACAGAUGGGCCCGCGGCGCAUUAGCUAGUUGGCGGGGUAACGGCCCACCAAGGCAACGAUGCGUAGCCGACCUGAGAGGGUGAUCGGCCACAUUGGGACUGAGACACGGCCCAAACUCCUACGGGAGGCAGCAGUAGGGAAUCUUCCGCAAUGGACGAAAGUCUGACGGAGCAACGCCGCGUGAGUGAAGAAGGCCUUCGGGUCGUAAAACUCUGUUGCCGGGGAAGAACAAGUGCCGUUCGAACAGGGCGGCGCCUUGACGGUACCCGGCCAGAAAGCCACGGCUAACUAC
rnacentral:rRNA from 1 species